UCGGAGCUGCGGAGGCGGGAGCGCGGCCCGAGCUGCUCUCGUUCUGCUUCAGGACCCCUGAAAUGUCAGAGGUCGCGUGCAUGUGUACAUGUUAAUUAGGGCUCACAUUUAGUGAGUGUUCAGUCCUGGCCAGUCACUGCUCUGAGUGCUUUCAUGGAAGAAAGUGCGAUCCUUACAACAACCCUUCCAGAGUGGCUGUGCUGUUUUGCAUUCCCACGGCAAUGAAUGAGAAUUGCUGUUUGUAUACAACCCUGCCAGUGUUUGGA